rnacentral:rRNA from 1 species
AUUGAACGCUGGCGGCAGGCCUAACACAUGCAAGUCGGGCGGUAACACAGGGAGCUUGCUCCUGGGUGACGAGCGGCGGACGGGUGAGUAAUGUCUGGGAAACUGCCUGAUGGAGGGGGAUAACUACUGGAAACGGUAGCUAAUACCGCAUAAUGUCGCAAGACCAAAGAGGGGGACCUUCGGGCCUCUUGCCAUCAGAUGUGCCCAGAUGGGAUUAGCUAGUAGGUGGGGUAAUGGCUCACCUAGGCGACGAUCCCUAGCUGGUCUGAGAGGAUGACCAGCCACACUGGAACUGAGACACGGUCCAGACUCCUACGGGAGGCAGCAGUGGGGAAUAUUGCACAAUGGGCGCAAGCCUGAUGCAGCCAUGCCGCGUGUAUGAAGAAGGCCUUCGGGUUGUAAAGUACUUUCAGCGAGGAGGAAGGCAUCAAGGUUAAUAACCUUGGUGAUUGACGUUACUCGCAGAAGAAGCACCGGCUAACUCCGUGCCAGCAGCCGCGGUAAUACGGAGGGUGCAAGCGUUAAUCGGAAUUACUGGGCGUAAAGCGCACGCAGGCGGUCUGUCAAGUCGGAUGUGAAAUCCCCGGGCUCAACCUGGGAACUGCAUUCGAAACUGGCAGGCUAGAGUCUUGUAGAGGGGGGUAGAAUUCCAGGUGUAGCGGUGAAAUGCGUAGAGAUCUGGAGGAAUACCGGUGGCGAAGGCGGCCCCCCUGGACAAAGACUGACGCUCAGGUGCGAAAGCGUGGGGAGCAAACAGGAUUAGAUACCCCUGGUAGUCCACGCCGUAAACGAUGUCGACUUGGAGGCUGUUCCCUUGAGGAGUGGCUUCCGGAGCUAACGCGUUAAGUCGACCGCCUGGGGAGUACGGCCGCAAGGUUAAAACUCAAAUGAAUUGACGGGGGCCCGCACAAGCGGUGGAGCAUGUGGUUUAAUUCGAUGCAACGCGAAGAACCUUACCUACUCUUGACAUCCAGAGAACUUUCCAGAGAUGGAUUGGUGCCUUCGGGAACUCUGAGACAGGUGCUGCAUGGCUGUCGUCAGCUCGUGUUGUGAAAUGUUGGGUUAAGUCCCGCAACGAGCGCAACCCUUAUCCUUUGUUGCCAGCGAUUCGGUCGGGAACUCAAAGGAGACUGCCAGUGAUAAACUGGAGGAAGGUGGGGAUGACGUCAAGUCAUCAUGGCCCUUACGAGUAGGGCUACACACGUGCUACAAUGGCGCAUACAAAGAGAAGCGACCUCGCGAGAGCAAGCGGACCUCAUAAAGUGCGUCGUAGUCCGGAUUGGAGUCUGCAACUCGACUCCAUGAAGUCGGAAUCGCUAGUAAUCGUAGAUCAGAAUGCUACGGUGAAUACGUUCCCGGGCCUUGUACUCACCGC